UACGGGGGGAGCAAGCGUUGUUCGGAUUUACUGGGCGUAAAGGGCGCGUAGGCGGGUUUCCAAGUCGGGGGUGAAAUUCCAGGGCUCAACCCUGGGACGGCCUUCGAUACUGGGAGCCUGGAGAUCGGGAGAGGUGAGUGGAAUUCCGAGUGUAGAGGUGAAAUUCGUAGAUAUUCGGAGGAACACCAGAAGCGAAGGCGGCUCACUGGCCCGAGACUGACGCUGAGGCGCGAAAGCGUGGGGAGCAAACAGG
rnacentral:rRNA from 1 species